rnacentral:rRNA from 1 species
GAACGAACGCUGGCGGCAUGCCUAACACAUGCAAGUCGAACGAGACCUUCGGGCCUAGUGGCGCCCGGGUGCGUAACGCGUGGGAACCUGCCCUUAGGUUCGGAAUAACUCCCCGAAAGGGGUGCUAAUACCGGAUAAUGUCUUCGGACCAAAGAUUUAUCGCCUUUGGAUGGGCCCGCGUUGGAUUAGCUAGUUGGUAGGGUAAAAGCCUACCAAGGCGACGAUCCAUAGCUGGUCUGAGAGGAUGAUCAGCCACACUGGGACUGAGACACGGCCCAGACUCCUACGGGAGGCAGCAGUGGGGAAUAUUGGACAAUGGGCGAAAGCCUGAUCCAGCAAUGCCGCGUGAGUGAUGAAGGCCUUAGGGUUGUAAAGCUCUUUUACCCGGGAUGAUAAUGACAGUACCGGGAGAAUAAGCUCCGGCUAACUCCGUG